UAAGAAAAAAAAAACAAAGCCAAAAGGUUUACCGAGUUACUUGUUCUGGAAUUUUUUAUUUCCGCUCACGGAACCUCGAGAUAUAAGCGUUUAAAAAUUAGUCCGCGUAUUUAUGCAACUACUGGUACUUACAGGAAACUGCCCCAACCCCCUAUGGAAAAUUUUAUAUUUUUACUAUAUCAAAAUAUAGGCAUAGUAUGAUUGAACUCAUCAACGACUAAAAAAAAAAAUUUUUUAACGGAAUAUAAAGUUUUUUUUAUAAUUUAUUAUCAUAAUAUAAAAAUGUUUUAUUAUUUGUACAAUACUAAAUUAUAAAGUGUCUAUGAACCAGAUCAUAAAUAAUUAUGGAAGUAUUAGUGAAGAAUAAGUUAGGAUUGUAAAUCCAACGAUGCAAAAUUAAAGCCUGCUCCUUCAUAUUUGCAUACUUCAUUAUUGUAAAUCUGUAAAAAUCUAUAUUUUCCAGUUUUAUUCAGAGGAUCGAGGACAAAAAAGAAUCCAUGGUUUUACAACUAUGCUAUCACAAAAAAUGUAGCAGAAAUUAGUUUUUGAAAGGAAAAUUAUAGUCCGUGAUGUUAGCUGUUGUAGCAUCUCCCAGGAGCUGAUCAUCGAUCAUAAAAACGUUUUGAACAAUUUGCAGAAGGCGGCAUACAAAAAUAAACUCAAAUAGGUGCAUCGGUAGCUUGGUUGGGAAGUUCUUAUGCAUCCACCUUACAGUCCAGACCUGCGUCAAGUGACUCCACCUGUUUCUGUGUAUGGGAAGCGCACCUGGAGAUACAUGUUUGGCCUCAACACAGGCCAUGACAAGGGGUUGUUUUGAGUUAAGUACCAAUAAGGAUAAGGGCUUCUACAGGAAGGGCAUAAUUAAUUUUGAAUUCCUGUUGGCAAGAAGUUAUUGAACAGAAUGGGCAUAUUUGACUUAAAUUGUAUGAUUGUAACACUUCUUAUAAAGUAUUAAAAAAACCUCCCAUUUAUUGGAUUCAAAUGUAUAUCUAUACCUUAAACAGAAGCAUGUGGUAGGCUUGAUAUUGUACUAAAAGAAUUAAAUAAAAACUUUGAUUUAUGAA
rnacentral:lncRNA from 1 species